rnacentral:rRNA from 1 species
UACGGGGGGGGGCAAGCGUUGUUCGGAAUUACUGGGCGUAAAGGGUUCGUAGGGGGCCUGCUAAGUCAGACGUGAAAUCCCUCAGCUUAACUGGGGAACUGCGUCUGAGACUGGUGGGCUUGAGUGCAGGAGAGGAACGCGGAAUUCCAGGUGUAGCGGUGAAAUGCGUAGAUAUCUGGAGGAACACCGGUGGCGAAGGCGGCGUUCUGGACUGCUACUGACACUGAGGAACGAAAGCCAGGGGAGCAAACGGG